AAAUAAUUACAAACAAGUGAAUUACCAAUGCGAGUUCUAUUCAUUUAUUCAUCGAUAUCCUUAGAUAUUAAUGUCAUAGAACCACAUGACUAACGUUUACUUUUCGGGCUACUAAAUUAAUUUGGAUUAAAUUAAAAAUUAAAAUAUGGCAUGUACAUACAUAUAGUUCCAAGAUGUCCGGACAGAUGUCGGAAACACGUUUACGGGUCACCUUAUCGCGUGGGUGUGGCAGGCGGAAAAUCAAAUACCGCAUCGGGGGCAGGUGAAAUACGAAUGUUUUAAAUGCCACGCAACUGUGAGCCCAUUGAAAGCACAAGUACUAUGACCAUAGGAAUACCAGUUUUAUAGUAUGUACCAGUACGAGUAGUAUGCGGUUCGCAACGCGCCAGCAAGUUGGCAAGUGCUCUAAAGAAACCGCAGCGAAAUUGAAAAUGAGCGCAGAGAAAUAAGUUUGGAAUACGUGAUGGAGGUACAAAAACUUUAUAUAUUCCCCAUCUAGGAUCAGUUAAACAACACGGAUUAGUAAUAAAAUUAAGAAAUAUAUUAAUCAACGACUCAAUU